GAGCAGGUGGCCGAGUGGUUAAGGCAGUGGACCGCUAAUCAAUUGGGGUUUCCCAGCGUGAGUUCGAAUCUCGUCCUGAUCG
rfam:Enterobius vermicularis genome assembly, scaffold: EVEC_scaffold0004575